rnacentral:tRNA from 1 species
UGGGGUGUAGCUCAGUGGUAGAGUGCUGGCCUAGCAUGCCACUGGGUUUGAGCCUCAGCACCACAU